CAGCUGUGGGUACAGAAGGCAGGACUCAGGACAAUCUUCAGCAUGGCCUGGUCCCCUUUCCUCCUCACUCUCCUCAUUCACUGUGCAGGUGA
rnacentral:pre_miRNA from 1 species